GGGAGUGGGGCGGCGUCUGUUGUCGCGAUUCGCCAGCAGAUGGGAGAAUCGCACGGUAUCCAUCGCAGGAAGUGGAGCAGGAUCGUGGCCGUUAUUGUGGUCUGCCAGGGAGUAGUGGAGCUGCGCGAGACCCGUCGUAGGGAGUGGAGUAGUGCUGUGACCGUUACUGCGGCCUGUCAGGGAGUGAUGGAGCUGCGUAGAGUCCGCCGCAGGGAGUGGAACAGUGUUGUCCAUUACUGUGGCCUGCCAGGGG
rnacentral:lncRNA from 1 species